CUUCCGUAAUAUAGUACAGAGCCCAUUGUAUUGCUCUCUGUGUCUUCUAUGUUGCUCAAAUCAGGUCUGGGGGCUAUGUUUUGGCCUGAACACAAGUGGUGGAACCGGGAUUAGAACCCAUGACCUUCUGACUCCCAGGCCUGUGCUCUAUCUACUAUGCCAUGCUGCUUCUCAGAAUACAGUGACCUGACCAGCUUGUGGAUGACCACCUCUUCUCCAGGCCAAGCUGACUGCAUCCACACAAAGGAUAUCGUCAUUUAAAGCCAAUUAGACCGAGCCCAAGCCUUGUAAGUCAGAUGACCUUGACACAGAUGAUCAGAUAAGAACACAAGACCGCUACUUCUGGGUGACACCAGCAUUCUGUCCUUGAUCAUGGCAGCCAAAUGGGGAAGAUGGGAAGAAUUCAUAUUCAAAGAAUCCCUACUUGGUCUUAAAUACGGCAGGGGGGCGACGAGGAUGCUGGGGAGAAGAUGCAUUCCCCCCACGGCAAGCUCUGACUGUUAUGCUUUCCUUUUGUGGUGGUGGGUCCCCAGAGGAAUAAAAGGUGGCCUGCCAAGGUACAAGUGUACGCUACAGAAUAUGGCUGCUUUGGCUCCUCUCCUGUCUGACACCCUCUCGACUCAUCUUAAAGAGACCCAGCAGGGAAGAGUAGAGCGGACCAUCCCCCCGCCCAACCCCCUUAGUCACUAGUAUCCCCUCAUGACUGGUUUUGGGUGGUCAGCCUUUAUUCUGUGGAGAUUAGAUGACCACAGAACCAUGCGGUCAUGGAGGGGCCCGUUUUCUUGACGGAGCAUUUCGUGUACCUUUUAAAAAGGAAUUUGUCAGACUCCUGCAUUCUUAUUAAGUAGUUAUCUAAAGAUUCAAAUUAGGCACCUAUACACAUUUUCAUGGAAGAAGGGUAGACCCUUCUUAUGAUGAAUUUACUAAACAACGCUUCUACAGCCAGAGACACUGUAGGUGAUUGUACAUUAUGAAAUUCUUCUCAAUUCAUAAUUAACUGCGAUCAUAAAUUUUCCAGUUAGGUGCAGUCAGUAUGUAAGUCCACCAUUGCUUUGCCAUUCAGCUUGGAUAGACUCUGAUAGCCUACUCUUGGGGAAAGAAGAUAAUGAGUAGCCUAGAGUCUUCUUACUGCAUCCAUGACAGACUUGGACCUUUUUUCUUUGUUUUCAUCUUCUGUUGGCUAAAGAUAUCUCUAAUUCCCCAGCCCUUCUGUCCCUUGCCAUUAAAUGAAAAUGAGUAAGUGAUGAAGCAUUAUGGUCAGUAUUUGAACUCAGUGUAGAAUGAUGGAUGAUUAAAGUAGUUGCAGCCUAUAAGGCAGUACUGCUGUUUGUUAUGCUGGAAGCUUCUCAUUAAUGGAAUGCUUCUUCUACUCAUGCAAGCGUCACAUCUCUUGGGAAAGUAAUUGAGAUUUUUAAAGUCUAGUCUGUUCUGGUUCCAAUUUUUGAUAACUCUUCCCUCCUUAGAUUUUUGUUCCUGAGAAGAUUUUUAACCUUUAUGAUCUCUUUCUUACCGUGGAUGUUUAUUUGGUUUACUGCUUUGGUUUAGGAGAGGCCAGCGACUGGAAUGGGAAGCUGAUGGGAUUAAAUGACUCCUUACACCCUAGUGGGGUGAUUGCUGAAGGUUACACUUGAGGUCAUUGGCUGGACAAUAGAAAGAAAGUCAUGCUUUGGCUGACUGUACAGUACAUUUGGCUGGGGGAACCAAAGCUGACACUUGUUUGAGUGAUGAGAGAAGAAAAUAUUCAGCCUUUCACUCUGAGAAACAAACAAGUCCAGACUAGAGCCAGUCGACUGGAGCUCUGGGGUUUACAGGACUCCUGAGCCUAGGAUGCAUUGCUGUCCGUAGUAUAUGUUUAUUUGUGGUUGGGAGAAAGUGUUUGGCCCAUGAGAAAUAUCCAAAAUUGGAGUAAUCUUUAAGAGCAUCUCAGUUAGGUGGCUGCCUGGCCUGUUUUUCAAGCUCUUGGAAGACUUUGAUCCCUUUCCCCACCUAACCGGAUCUGUGUGAGGGGAACAGAAGUAGACCCUUUCUUAAAUAGUUUGUGUUUAAUAUAAUGAUGAUGAUGAUAAUAAGGUAGUUGUUAAGUGCUUAUUAUGUACCAAGCACUGGGGUAGAUACAAGAUGAUCAAGUUGGACACAUUUUUAUUAUACUUAAGUGCUUACUGUCGAGCACUGUUCUAAGUGCUGGUGUAGAUACAAGUUAAUCAGUUCAGAAGAUGGAUAAAAGACUAGCUGUUCCUCGUGGAAGCUGUUAUCCACUGUCACCCCUUGCAUUUCAAGCAGGGACCAUUUCAAGCCCUGCCCCUCUCUCGCCUCUGGUCUCUUGGCCCCCAGCCCUACCGAGUGCCAGUGGAAAGGGGGUCCGGGCCGGUGUGGGCUACUGGUCCUCCCUCACCCAGGCCUGUGGUGGGUAGCAGAGGGAAGGGGAGGAGGCUGCAUUAUACAACCUGGUUGUUCUUCUGCCCAAAGUAGUGUUCAAAGCACCUGUUGGCCUCCUCUCUUAAGGUGUCACGUGUCCGGGCAAAGGGAAGAGCUGCCAGGGGGAUCCAAACCCAGAUGCCCCUGGGAGAGGGGGCGGGCAGGAAUGGGUCCAUCUUCAAGAUGGGGAAACCUCAGUGCUCAGUUCAGUGCCUGGCACACAAUAAAUGCUUAAGAAAUAUAACAGAAAGCCAUUUAACUCUCUGUGCCUCAGUUUUCUCAUCUGUAACAUGGGGAUUUAAGACUUUGAGCCCCAAGUGAGACAUGAACUACAUCCAUCCUGAUUAACUUAUAUCUACCCCAGCUCUUUGUACAGUGCCUGGCACAUAGUAAGCAUUUAACAAAUACUAUUUUUUAAAAAAUGGGACUUGGGCCUUUUGUACUGCUCGUGGACUUGGACGGUUGCUGGAAGCAUGGCUUCUAAGUGGAAAAGACUAGGUUAGUAAGACAGGAAAAGUCUGAUGGCAACUGUGUGGAGCAUAUGGAUUUUUAAACUGAAUUCUCUUGUAAAUUUCAAAGUGAAAAGAAUAGUUUAAUAAUGGAAAGCACAGUGGCAGGGGUAUUGAAUGCUCUGUAUAUUCAUCAGAGGCAGAAUUAAAACCUGUCUACCACUUUUUCGGGACUAUAAAAUUAGAGAUUAUAUGAACUGUUGUCAUAGUGUAAUGAUUUCAUGUCUGACAGAUCUUUGGCACCUGCUCAAGGAUGUGGUAAUCCGAGUAUGUCAUUCUGAAGCUGAGGUUUUAGUGAGCCGAGAGUACUAAUAUCAAAAGCGAAGCUUAAAACAGUGUCUAUCGAAGCAGGAUUGUAAAGUGGACUAACUAGCUCGCUAGAGGCUCAGGCUAACACUCUCCCAUAAUUACAUGAUUUUGCCUACCUGUUGCAUUUUUACAGUUUUUAUUCUCUGGUGCAAACUGUGUCAGUAAAAGUUGUUGGUAUGAGGUGCUUCAUCAUUCUUCGUGUUUACUGAUUGAGGGAAAUGAGGCAGAUGUUAAAUAAUGAACUCUGGGAAUUCCCCUUCACCAGCAAUUAAAUAAUGGAACCCAGAUGUUGGUCAUGAUACCCAGGCAUGUCUAGGCAAAAAUGUUGAAUUAUCAAUACACAAUCCCACAUCACCGGUUCUAAACAGUCUUUCUCCCUAGCUGGAUUUGUCUAACUUUUGACUGUUGCCACAGAAAAAUUGUCAGAGGAUCUGAGCAGGUUUUUUGGAAUUGGACAAAUCUGACAAGGUAAACAUCAUGGGAUAUUGAAAAGCACGGAUGAAUCAACUACAGACCCUUGGAAAGCUAAAUACCGAUGGUCUGCUCAUGCUCAGAGAACAGGGCUGGUAUCAAGAAGUAGCAUGGCCCAGUGGAAAGAACACAGGCCUGGGAGUCAGAG
rnacentral:lncRNA from 1 species